GAUGAACGCUGGCGGCGUGCCUAAUACAUGCAAGUCGAGCGACCGGAUGGGGAGCUUGUUCUUUUGAGGUUGGCGGGGGGCGGGUGAGUGACGCGUGGAUAGGCUACCUAUUAGUCUCGGAUAAUUACGGGCAACCGGCGCCAAUACCAGGUAAUAUGAUGAACGGCAGAGUUCAAUAGAGCAAGAGGGCUUUGCUGUCCCGUAUAGAUGGAUCCGCGCCGAAUUAGCUAGUUGGUAAGGUAACGGCUUACCAAGGCAACGAUGCGUAGCCGACCUGAGAGGGUGAUCGGCCACACUGGAACUGAGACACGGUCCAGACUCCUACGGGAGGCAGCAGUAGGGAAUCUUCCGCAAUGGGCGAAAGCCUGACGGAGCCACGCCGCGUGAGUGAUGAAGGUCUUCGGAUCGUAAAACUCUGUUAUUAGGGAAGAACAAAUGUAUAAGUAACUAUCCACGUCUUGACGGUACCUAAUGAGAAAGCCACGGCUAACUACGUG
rnacentral:rRNA from 1 species